rnacentral:rRNA from 1 species
GCCGCCGCGGUAAUACGUAGGUGGCAAGCGUUGUCCGGAUUUACUGGGUGUAAAGGGAGCGCAGGCGGGAGAGCAAGUCAGCUGUGAAAACUAUGGGCUUAACCCAUAGACUGCAGUUGAAACUGUUCUUCUUGAGUGGAGUAGAGGUAAGCGGAAUUCCGAGUGUAGCGGUGAAAUGCGUAGAGAUUCGGAGGAACACCAGUGGCGAAGGCGGCUUACUGGGCUCUAACUGACGCUGAGGCUCGAAAGUGUGGGGAGCAAACAGGAUUAGAUACCCC